rnacentral:SRP_RNA from 1 species
GCUGGGCAUGGUGGUGCAUGCCUGUAAUCCCAGCUACUCAGGAGGCUGAGGCAGGAGAAUCAUUUGAACCUAGGAGGCAGAAGUUGCAGUGAGCCAAGAUCACGCCAUUGCACUCCAGCCUGGGUGACAGAAUGAGACUCUGUCUCAA